rnacentral:lncRNA from 1 species
CCUUAGCGCACAAGCACUAAGCAAGUAAACUACCUUUUUUCUUCUCUUUCGUCCCUUUUUUUUUCAAUAGAUUGUUCGUGUGUCGGAGAAUUGGCUUCUGCGUGUCCCUGUUCAAGUAGUCGAGUACGCCCGACUCGCUGCUGUCCAGUCCAAGCCUUCCAUUUCCAUUAUGUCUGCUUGCGAUUCGCCCUAGUCCGUAAAGAAAGUAGGAAAUGAUGGAAAAAAGUCUUCCAAUCUCUUAGUCUAGUGUUGCAAUCCCGCUAAGGCCUAAGACUGAUGAGUUGAGUGAAAUCCUAUCAGCCUUGGAAGCAGGGCCUAAUCCUCCAAACUAGGACUAUUCUUCCCGCUUUCCACGCUUUCUAUUAGUCUUUUUCUUGUAAUGUAAGGAGAACUACGAAUCAGCCUCAUGAAUAAGCUCACCUUAUAAGAGAAGUGGGAGAAGGCGAGAGGUAGCUAGUAGGCCUUGACUCAGUCCCAUGGUUGGCCCUAUGGGAAUCCAUGCCCCGGGGGUACCUACCGCUUUCGAUUCGAACUCGAUCUUAUUAAGUUGGAGAUUCAAAUAGAUAAAGUGUUCCGUGAGGAAUGUGAUUCAAGUAGUAGAUGAUGUCCUACUUGAUACUUGAGGAGGGCUUUUGCUAAACCCACAAAGAAAGCAUCGGCACCGGGACUAAUUACGGAUAGAAGACUGUUUUAGUUGCCGGUGAUACUGCUUGAGAAGAAGUACACCUCUUUUUUAUUUAGUACUCGAGAAAUAUGGAACUACUUUGAUUAUUGCCGCGGCUUUUGCUUUAGCUCAUUCUCUUUUCGAUGAAGCUUUUUUUGUUCAUUCCGAUACUUUUUAUGAAAGCAGCUAAUUGAAGACUCACAUUUCAGAGUCAAUAGCUUCGACAUAUUGUAUAUCGAAGAUGGGAGAGGCAACCAUCAGACUGGUUUAUCUAACCUUCUAGUUCCGGGGGUAACCCAUUACACCUCCUUCUUGAUUCCCAUGCGGGGCUAACAACCGAUGCAACCUAACCCAAUGCCGAUAGUGAAAGUCUCUAUCUAUAUAGGAAGUAAAGGCUCUCGCAGUAGUUGUUCUGUAAGGGCUUCCAUUACUUGCUUCAAUUGCAUUGAUUUCUCUUUUCUGGCCUCAGACUUGUACCUAAUCUUCUAAAGAUCAACCGCGAGUCAAGUCAAAGAACUCCUCUUUCGUAGUACACUUCUUGCUGAAUACCUUUUUCUUGCUUCCUCCAAUUGGCAAUAGGACAUCCUCUCCUAAGCUAAGGAAGUACUUCAAUGAAGGCAUCGGGUGAUUUCACCCCUUAAGUAAGGCGAAUUGACAAAGCCUAGUCUAAGAGCAGGAUGAAGUAGCAAAGGGGAACUAAAUAGCCUUACAGGGAAUGGGGUUAGAGAAGGCGGUGAAAGGGUAUUGAGCUAGAAUGAAACUACAGGGCAACUCUUUAUAAAGGAGGGAAUCCGUAUUUGUGGACGUAUUGCCAAUGCUUGAACAAGACAGCUUAGACCUAUUAGAGCGAUACCAGAAAAAGGACAGAAAUCGAUCUCUUUAAAGACAGAAAGACCGGUAACCAAGCAAGAUAGAAAGAAAUGACCGAUUGCCAUACAUAGACCGAUGAAAGAGAACAGACUGUUGUUGGCAGGAUAAAUCCCCUUAUUACAGAAAGAGAUCGAACGGAAUCUUUUUUCUUCUAUUAUGAUAUUUCGAAUGACAUCUGUAAAAACUAGAUGAUUCAACGAGUACCGAUGCUUUGCUUUGGCGUAGGUGUCUGUUAAAUGUUGUUUGGGAUGGUCUAGUAGUUGCUCCGUUUUCAUCUACGGUUGACGGAACGCAGAGCAAGGACUUCCUGCCCGAUCCGAUUCCGGGGUUAAAAGAAAAGGCCGUGGACAAGAAAGCGGUUAAAACUGCCCCUUAUGAUGAAGGGAGGGGAGCUGCAUCGACCCUUUCAGUGGUUUUAGGCGCUAAAUGCUGGAAAUAUAGGUUAGUGCGGGAUAAUAAAUAUCCACACUUUCUUAUAGCUAUAGCCGAGACUUCUGUUGAUGGAAGGGGAUAGACGAAGUGACUCGAUUUAAAGUAAGCAACGAGAGGCAAUAAGGUCCCGAUGUCACUCUUUAUUUUCUUUUUUUGUUUUUUGACUGACCGGAUCGGUCACUCCUCAACCAACUAAGACAUUUCUGAGCAGUUCCCCUCACCCCCUAUCACUUAAAGGCAGAGCUAACCCAACAUUCUACUGCUCUCUAAAGGGCCUGCCUAUUCUAUUAGUCAAGCUUGGAGAACAUAGUACUAGGACUUGCUAGAUGAAAGACCUUGAUUGGUGAAGGGCUUAAAAGUUAGGUAGCUGCUAUCUAUCGGAUCUUUUCUAAGAGGUUAGGUAGGUGGUUGAGUCGAAGCGGAGAAGGAGACUAAGUCAUCGGUCGUGCCGGGAUUGAUUUCCUACUUCCAGCUGAAUGAGGGCCACACAGCCGUCAACCCUGCUGGAAGUGCUUUCUAGAUCCAAUCUCCUGGUCUUUCGUUCGCUAUUCGAAUGUCUGGACCAGUAGAAAUGUACGAAAGGUGGUCUUGCCCUUUCCUUUACAACUAGUAGCUAGUAGCUCCGUCGUUGAUCUCUCCUCUUCCCGGCCGGUUGUGACUCGUAUGUCCAGCCAACGACUAUCGAUUCCUAACGAAUCCAUAGAUUCUUCUACCAUUCGACCAGAUCUUCUAGAUUGUAUUCUCAUUUUCCGGCCUCGAGCAACUUUACUAAUAAGGGAAAAGCCCUUAACUUAAUUUAAUUCAUAUUAGAUUAGUAUAAUAUAAAGCGCUAGCGCCCAACCGGCUUUCCGCCUCCGUUUGGUCGUGCUGCUAUGAUGUAACGUGCAGUCGUCCCGAGGCAUUUUAGGGCCCCUCUUUUAUCUCCCUUAAAGUCCUUUAUGGAUUUCAAGUCGGGAAUAGAGCUGUGACUUAUUCGGCGCUAUAUCACAAUUCAUUCAUUCUCGGGCAUAGCUGUUCACGAAACGUGGCGUGGGACAUCUGUCGGCGGCGGGUUAAUUCCGAGCGAGAGGUCAAACCAAUCCCAUUCAUCCUGGUCUGAUCCGAACGGAUCUUGUUGAAUGAAUUGAUCCAUUGUUCUAUGCCCUAAUUCUUAGUUCAUUUUUUCCUACUCGGACCCGCCGUACUUCCUUUGACUACUCCUGAGAUAUAGUGGAAACAUUUUGUUAUGGUGGAGAGUGGGGAGUGAAAACACCAAUGCAACAGAGAACGACCACAUGAAUCGGAAUCCGCUUAACUUAUUAAGACAGACGACCGAGAAAGAAAGGCUCCGCGUUCUCCAAGUGGUUGAUCUUAGCUUAGCGUGCUAGCCGCUGCUUCAUUUCGUAUAGUGAUAACGCUUUCUCUUUCUUAGCGCUCCGCCCCCCCUUGUAUAGUAAGGGGAACUUUGGUUGCGCGGCUUUCUCUUAUACUUAUAGGGGUCUAUUUUCUCUGACUUGACUCAGCU